GACGAACGCUGGCGGCGUGCUUAACACAUGCAAGUCGAACGGAAAGGCCCUGCUUUUGUGGGGUGCUCGAUUGGCGAACGGGUGAGUAACACGUGAGUAACCUGCCCUUGACUUUGGGAUAACUUCAGGAAACUGGGGCUAAUACCGGAUAGGAGCUCCUGCUGCAUGGUGGGGGUUGGAAAGUUUCGGCGGUUGGGGAUGGACUCGCGGCUUAUCAGCUUGUUGGUGGGGUAGUGGCUUACCAAGGCUUUGACGGGUAGCCGGCCUGAGAGGGUGACCGGCCACAUGGGGACUGAGAUACGGAGCAGACUCCUACGGGAGGCAGCAGUGGGGAAUAUUGCACAAUGGGCGGAAGCCUGAUGCAGCAACGCCGCGUGCGGGAUGACGGCCUUCGGGUUGUAAACCGCUUUCGCCUGUGACGAAGCGUGAGUGACGGUAAUGGGUAAAGAAGCACCGGCUAACUACGUG
rnacentral:rRNA from 1 species